rnacentral:sRNA from 1 species
UAGCUCAUAUGUUAGUUGAAGACCAGCUCCAAGCUGGUCAUUUAGAGCCUAAGCUCAGCCCUUGGAACAUACCCAUUUUUUGUAAUUAAGAAAAAAGUUUGGUAAUUGGAGGUUAUUAUAGGACCUAAGGGCAAUAAAUCAUGCAGUUCAACCUAUGGGAGCUCUACAAUCUGGGCUUCCUUCUCCUACAGCUAUUCCUUUGAAUUAUAAUUUGAUAGUAAUAGAUCUAAAAGAUUGUUUUUUCUCUAUACCUUUGCACCCAGAUGACUAUAAAAAGUUUGCCUUUAG